CAGGAAAUAGUUUAUAAAAUUAAAACAUUAAAUUUGGGAUUUAAAGAAGAAAUUUCCUGA
rnacentral:tRNA from 1 species